rnacentral:rRNA from 1 species
UACGUAGGGGGCGAGCGUUGUCCGGAUUUAUUGGGCGUAAAGGGCGCGUAGGCGGCUAGAUGUGUCAAAGGUGAAAUCCCUCGGCUCAACUGAGGAACUGCCUUUGAAACUGUCUGGCUUGAGGCCGGGAGAGGGUAGCGGAAUUCCCAGUGUAGCGGUGAAAUGCGUAGAUAUCAGGAGGAACACCAGUGGUGUAGACAGCUUACUGGACCAUAACUGACGCUGAGACACGAAAGCGUGGGGAGCGAACAGG